GUGGGGAAUCUUAGACAAUGGGCGCAAGCCUGAUCUAGCCAUGCCGCGUGAGUGAUGAAGGCCCUAGGGUUGUAAAGCUCUUUCAGCUGGGAAGAUAAUGACGGUACCAGCAGAAGAAGCCCCGGCUAACUCCGUGCCAGCAGCCGCGGUAAUACGGAGGGGGCUAGCGUUGUUCGGAAUUACUGGGCGUAAAGCGCGCGUAGGCGGACUGAAAAGGUGGGGGUGAAAUCCCGGGGCUCAACCUCGGAACUGCCUUCAAAACUAUCAGUCUGGAGUUCGAGAGAGGUGAGUGGAAUUCCGAGUGUAGAGGUGAAAUUCGUAGAUAUUCGGAGGAACACCAGUGGCGAAGGCGGCUCACUGGCUCGAUACUGACGCUGAGGUGCGAAAGCGUGGGGAGCAAACAGGAUUAGAAACCCGGGUAGUCC
rnacentral:rRNA from 1 species